GAUUCUCGCCGUCGCCGGCCGCCACCAACCGGCGAAUCCCCCCUCUCGCCGCGGCGGCGGAGGGGCUAGCGAUGACCACCGCUCCUCACGGGCUCAUCGGUAGCCGGCGGGCCGUGGGAGGGGAGGCUUCUACCGCCGUGGAAGAAACUCCGGCCGCCGCCUUCUGCCGCCGGUCACCUGCGGAAUCUGAAUGCUUGAGGUUGAUGAACCAAAUGGCAUGUGCAUUGCUUCGAUGAAGGAGGCCACUGUUGUAAUUGGACUAGAGUCACACGCCCACUGUAAGACCAGACCUUGUGUUUUUUUUUUUAAUUUUCUGUUUCCUUCUCCUUGCCAAACAUGAAUCCCAACAGGACUAGACAGACUAACAGAGGACCAAAUAACUUCAAUCGAAAUAUCAAAUGCAUAUCCAUAUUUGUUGGGGA
rnacentral:lncRNA from 1 species